CUAGCAUAUGACGAUAAGCAAGACAGGGACUCUGCAGCGCUCCCGAUUACAAACCGGGGGCGCGGAUGAUGCAUCCGUCUAGGGGAAUCUCUGAUGCUAC
rnacentral:snoRNA from 1 species